GUAAUAGGUCUUUAAUUGCUCACUGUUGCAGUUGGCCUAAUGCUCCCAGCCAUGUUGGCUGGCUUGUUGUCCCUUUUUUGCUUGGCCCCGUAAUUGCUGCUUGCAGCUAUAUUUGUAACUGUAUCUGUCUUUCUAGUGAACUCAAGUGACAACCAGUGUGACUUCUGCUCACUUUUAUUUCCUCUGCUUUGUUUAACAGGGACAUGAAUAUUACAAUCCCCAGAAAAAAAAUUACAUCUUCUUGAGGAAUGCGGCUGAGGAACUGAAGCCUCGGAACAAGAAAUGAUUCGUCAAGCUUCACAUCACAUCUUGGAAGACCGACGUUAGUGUGUAAAUAUGGGAGAGACCUCAAUUUGGCUAACACCUGGACCAAUGGCAUGGCAAUGCAUAUUUUUUAUGGACCAAUCAGAAGGGGGCCAACUGCUCAUAAGCAAUGGUGAUGUGAGCAGUGGCUUUUGAUACGAGUAAGGAAGCCAUGCUUUAGCAUUUCUGGUGUAAUUGAUGUACCUUUUUUUCUUAUUUCAUGAAGUUCUUCAUUAUUUGCAGCUCUUAUUUCUUGAUACUGCCUUACAAAGGAAAUGCAUUUUCACCUUUGCUUGUUUCUCUCUGCUUGGUGUAUAAUCAGAAUAUGUAACCAAUAAUAAAUCUAUCUCAAGCUUUCUCUGCA